UUGUGUUCACAGUUAUGCGGAGCAACUGUUUAACCCAACAUCUCUGCUUUUCAUAGGAUUAUUGCGUUAUUGUAAAAAAUAUUUAUUUUGACUGACAUCACCUUGUCCUUUGGGGUGACUAGUAAGCAGAUGUCGAGGUAAAUGGACAAAAGGAAGAGAUGGGUGGACUUUUCUGGAGAAGUACACAGUGCUCAAAAUCUUUGUGCAUACUUUUAACUCUCUGGUCAGUUGGGGUAAUUUGGUACCUAUUCUGAGAAAAACAUAUUUCCCACUGUGUUACACGACCUGCCUGUCUCUCACUGAUCAAAUCACUAUUACCAGGUGACCCAACAGUGACAAUAAACUUUUGGUGUAACAAGCAAGAGGACAGGGAAGCAUCUGCUGUCUAUAAGGGUAAAAUUACAGGUUAUGAAAAGAAGCCCAUGGACCUCUGGGAGAAAAAAACGUGUUCCCUGACAAAAGCCUGAAAUCUCCAACAUUAUAACAUUUACUUAUGUUGUCUGUAUGAUUUUCCCAUUCUUGUUGUUUUGUAUUUUUUAGGCACUUAAAAAAUUCUUUAUACUUCAUGGUAUUUUUCAAUUAAAAAUAAUAAUUCAACUGAACCAUGCUUCUUAUAAGCUAUAUAGUUAAAAUGGUUCACUUACACAUGGUUACACUUAGUGGUGUACUUCCAGUUCUUUGACUGUGUCACAGCUCAGUGUCAUGCCGUGUGUUCUACAUUCCUUUCCUGGAGAAAACAAAAUUAAAGGAAAAUUUAUAAAGCAAAAAUUCUAGCUUUUAUGUUCCUUAACAAAAUGACAAGUAAAUACAAAGUUUAAUAUCAACAUAA